UCCUGCACGAGAUUGAUCGAACCAGAGAACAAGUCAUGACAUGCCCAAGGAAGUGCCUAAACAGGCAUCGGGAAGGCCUGACAUCCCCCCCUCGGUGCUCUUUGUUUAACAGAGGAAGCGUCCUUCAGACAGAAUGGAAGAAGCUUUGGAGAAAAUCACCAUAUCAACACGUGUCCAUGCUGCAAUUUUCCCAGUCUAAACAUAGAGGACUAACACCCUAAAAUACAUAUGAAAAGGCACCCAUUUUCAUCAAUUAAUCUACAGUGUCUAGUCUUGGAGCUGGCCUGGAUGUUGAUCCGCAAACAUCAUCAACUCACAGCUGAAGUGAAUAACGUGACAAUGGACAUUGCCCAGGAUUUUAACAGAGCCCAAUAUAAUUGAGAGGAGAUGAUACAGAGUAUUCCAACAAAAGGAUGAUGCACUGAGUCACAGAGUGCUUGGUGUGAGCUGAAAAUUACAUGGCCAGUGGAAAACUUCUGGCCCACUCCGGUCAAGAGAGAGAAGCUGUUGUGAAAGUACUUCCUCCCUCUGCCCACAGUUCUCAUAAUAUCUGGUUAUAGCCAAUGAAGCUUUCUACACUUUUAUUCGAAUUUGGGUCUUUUUUUUCCAUUUACUUCUUAAGUUUCACCUUCUUCAAUCUGUGUUUGGAGAGAAGAAUCAAGCAUCACCUCCCUACACUAUUUCUCUUUUUAUCAUGAGUGGGCCUCCUGCUUUUGCAAGAGAGAUAAAGAAACCCCAAAAUAACAGAUUUUUAAGUGGGGCUUUGAGUACCAUCAUGCCACCAGAAGUAUUAGGCAGAAGAUCUGAAUUUCUGAUCUGAGUAACUGAGAUUAAACAUUUUCAUACAGUUCAACACAUUGUAUGGUAAUGGGAAUGAGAAAGAUAUUUCUACAAAGCCAAGGUACUGCUGGGAAACUACAGUUAUGCUGAUGCAAUUGUUGUUACAACAGCCAUUUUUUCCACCAGCUAGCAUGUGCCUCUGUGCCCUACCUCCACCAUGAUGGGAUACCAGCAAUUGUGCUGCUGCAGGAGAUCUUCUGCUCCUGAUGGUGAAGUAUGAUCUUUGCCCCGCACUUCUGAACCAAACUAGUACUGAAAUUUCAGCAUCCAGCUAGCUUAUUCCAUUUGUGUAGCGGUCUACAGCAAUUUCUCAAUUUGUUCUGAUAAGAAAAUAUUGAGCCAAGGGUAGUACUUAUUAGUGCUGGACAUCAAAGAGGAAGCCAGUAGCAUUUUCCCUAUUGUCAUUUUAAACAAACAAAAUAUAAAUAUAUGUGGGGGAGAAAUUAAAUGUUCUCAAAAUGACUAGUCUCAUGCAAUUAGCACCUCAUUGAUUAGCAGUUUAAAGACAGACUCCUUCAUAACAUAAAUCCAACUCCUUGGGAAACUGCUGUAUUAAAACUGUCUAAGGGCUACAUAAAUAAAAGGCAUGAUUCAAAA